CACGAACCAGACGCCCCCGAGCAGGACGAACCCUAGGAUUGGCCCCCCUCUGCCCGCCGCCGCCCGAGGAAUCUCCGGCCACCGGAGUCCCUUCUCUCCUCCGUCCAGUGGAUCGGCUCCACCGUCCUUCCAAGGAAGUCAAGAUGAGUAAAAGAAACAAGACACUGAAUUCUUUUUUUCAAGUUUUGCUGCUGAUCUAUGGAGUAAAUGGGUAUUUCGGCAAACGAGGGGAGGUGAUUGAGAGAUUCAUGGCAAUUGAGCAUGUUCCUGAUUGAGGAACAAAAUGAGUGAUGAUUGGAUGAAUCAUAGAAUGGUAUGUUACAUUGAGCGAGAUGCAUUUGUUAGCAUUGAAGAAUGAAAGAUCAUCAAGCGAUUUCAAGGUUAUCGCACACGCAAAGGCCUUUUGCCUCGUCUGACGUAAGCUUUCACAUUUUGCAUUUGUUAUUAACUAGUUUUACCUGCUAUAUUAUGCAUUGAUUUGCAUUUCAAAAUUUAUGAUUGAAGGUUUAGCUUCUUCUACUAUUGAAAAUGUAGUCAUGGGGGGCUCAGAUCAACCAAUCCUUUGCUUUGGUUUCAUACUUUUGUAUCAUCUAUGUAUGUUACAUAUUAUCUUUUGAUUUUUCUCGCUUUAUUAGUUGACCAAUCAUGGAACAAAUGUUGCCAUUGAAUGUUAAGUUUGGUUUUUUAUUAGUUAUAUGCAACAUAGAUUGACUUUUG